rnacentral:rRNA from 1 species
GACGAACGCUGGCGGCGCGCCUAACACAUGCAAGUCGAACGAGCGAGAGAGAGCUUGCUUUCUCAAGCGAGUGGCGAACGGGUGAGUAACGCGUGAGGAACCUGCCUCAAAGAGGGGGACAACAGUUGGAAACGACUGCUAAUACCGGAUAUGAACUUCUACCGCAUGGUGGUUGUUGGAAAGAUUUAUCGGUGAGGGAUGGACUCGCGGCCUAUCAGUUUGUUGGUGAAGUAAUGGCUCACCAAGACGAUGACGGGUAGCCGGCCUGAGAGGGCGACCGGCCACACUGGGACUGAGACACGGCCCAG